rnacentral:rRNA from 1 species
AGAUUGAACGCUGGCGGCAGGCCUAACACAUGCAAGUCGAGCGGUAGAGAGGUGCUUGCACCUCUUGAGAGCGGCGGACGGGUGAGUAAUGCCUAGGAAUCUGCCUAGUGGUGGGGGAUAACGUUCGGAAACGGACGCUAAUACCGCAUACGUCCUACGGGAGAAAGCGGGGGACCUUCGGGCCUCGCGCCAUUAGAUGAGCCUAGGUCGGAUUAGCUAGUUGGUGAGGUAAUGGCUCACCAAGGCGACGAUCCGUAACUGGUCUGAGAGGAUGAUCAGUCACACUGGAACUGAGACACGGUCCAGACUCCUACGGGAGGCAGCAGUGGGAAUAUUGGACAAUGGGCGAAAGCCUGAUCCAGCCAUGCCGCGUGUGUGAAGAAGGUCUUCGGAUUGUAAAGCACUUUAAGUGGAGAAGGUUGUAACUUAAUACGUUGCAACUUUGACGUUACGACAGAAUAAGCACGGCUAACUCGCGCCAGCAGCCG